rnacentral:rRNA from 1 species
GACGUAGGGAGCGAGCGUUGUCCGGAUUCAUUGGGCGUAAAGAGCGCGCAGGCGGUUUGGUAAGUCGGAUGUGAAAUCCCGGGGCUCAACCCCGGACCUGCAUCCGAUACUGCCCGACUAGAGGUAGGUAGGGGAGAUCGGAAUUCCUGGUGUAGCGGUGAAAUGCGCAGAUAUCGGGAGGAACACCAGUAGCGAAGGCGGCUCGCUGGGCCAUUCCUGACGCUGAGACGCGAAAGCUAGGGGAGCGAACAGG